AUUUUGGCUCUGGAGGCCAACGGUGAGGGUGCAAAUGAAAUAUUAAAAGUGCAAAAGGUGCUAAUGUGAAGUUAGCCCCAGAUUUGUUUUGGCUCUAAGGGCUAAACGAUGUGGGUAUAAACGAAAAUAUUAAAAGUGCAAAAGGUAUGUGCAAACGAGUGCAAAAGAAAAGUUUAAAAAGUUAAAAGUGGGGGGCCAACUUCACGCCGAUCGUUUUAUAAGGAUGGUACUUUCUCUUUUUCAGUAUCUUUUGGAAUAGAUCCUCUACUCAUAUUAUGGUUCAAUGUCUACUGCUGUAUGAAAUAUUUUAGAUUUUCUAUCACGUCUAAUAUAACAGUCAACGAAUUUUCAUUAUUAGUAAUACUGUUUAAUCAUCUAGGAUUUGAUCGAUUUUUAACACACUGUUUCACCACUGAUAUUUUUGAAAAAGUUGAUUUGGAGAUGAAUUCCAUUGAAAAGAGUUAUUAUUUCAGCGCAGCUUCGCCUCUCACCAUAUCCAAUCAUCAUUAAAAUUUGUAUCUUCUCUUUUUCACUUAAUCGGGC
rnacentral:lncRNA from 1 species